UACGUAGGGGGCUAGCGUUGUCCGGAAUCAUUGGGCGUAAAGAGCGCGUAGGCGGCCAGAUAAGUCCGGUGUGAAAGUCAAAGGCUCAACCUUUGAAUGCCGCUGGAAACUGUCUGGCUAGAGUCCGGGAGGGGCGAGUGGAAUUCCUGGUGUAGCGGUGAAAUGCGCAGAUAUCAGGAGGAACACCAAUGGCGAAGGCAGCUCGCUGGAACGGUACUGACGCUGGAGGCGCGAAAGCGUGGGGAGCGAACAGG
rnacentral:rRNA from 1 species